rnacentral:lncRNA from 1 species
UCAUUGGUGGGUCUGCUGGUAGAUAUCGAUCCUACCAAGAAGCUCACCACUCUCAGCAUCUCUCUACAAUUUGAGAAUAAUUAAUUAAAAAAAUUUUAAAUAGAUAGAGAUUUAUAUACUAAUUAGAAAUUACUUACCAUCUGCUCUAUGUGACGAGUGAAUGACCUCGAACCCGCAUAAUGCAGUACGGUCUAUUUAGUCCAAUUCACGAUAU